AUUGAACGCUGGCGGCAUGCCUUACACAUGCAAGUCGAACGGCAGCACGGGGCAACCUGGUGGCGAGUGGCGAACGGGUGAGUAAUGCAUCGGAACGUGCCAUUGAGUGGGGGAUAACGUAGCGAAAGUUGCGCUAAUACCGCAUAUUCUGUGAGCAGGAAAGCAGGGGGACCGCAAGGCCUUGCGCUCUUUGAGCGGCCGAUGUCAGAUUAGCUAGUUGGUGAGGUAACGGCUUACCAAGGCGACGAUCUGUAGCGGGUCUGAGAGGAUGAUCCGCCACACUGGAACUGAGACACGGUCCAGACUCCUACGGGAGGCAGCAGUGGGGAAUUUUGGACAAUGGGCGCAAGCCUGAUCCAGCCAUGCCGCGUGAGUGAAGAAGGCCUCGGGUGUAAAGCUCUUUCGGCCGGGAAGAAAUCGCAUGGGUUAAUACCCUGUGUGGA
rnacentral:rRNA from 1 species